GGUCGGGUGGUGUAGUUGGUUAUGUACGUUCUACUUCAUGCAAUCACUUCAAUCUCUACUAACACCUUCACAGCACAUCUCGUUAACAGUUUACUGUGACAUACUCCGAGAAGGUCCUGGGAUCGAGCCCCAGCCUGAUCA